GCACCGCGCCGCUGGCAACAGCGGUGGCAGGGUAAACCCCAUCCAGAGCAAGACCAAAUAGGGGAACAGUCGGCUUUAGCCGCAGCGUGUGGUCCGCACGGUUCCCGGGUAGGUUGCUAGAGGUCUGUGGUGACGCAGAUCCCAGAUGAAUGACUAUUCGCGACAGAACCCGGCUUAUAGGUUGACUCCCACA
rnacentral:RNase_P_RNA from 1 species